rnacentral:tRNA from 1 species
UCCCUGGUGGUCCAGUUUUUAAGACACUGCACUUCCAUUGCAGGGGUCACGGGUUUGAUUCUUGGUCAGGGAA